GUCAGAGAGAGAGAGAGAGAGAGAGAGGGAGAGGGAGAGAGAGCAUGAAAAGAACUAAAAACGUGUUUGGCUAGUCUGUACAAAAACUGUUGAAACAUGUAGCAGACAGUGAGUCCCUGGCAUUCACACCCAUCCUCUAAAUACAACAAUCAGUCGGAUGUCUUGGCAUCUGCAGCAUGAGACAAACCAGGAAAAUAUCCUCUGCAGUCAGACGGCAAGUUUUAAAGGGGAGGAGACUGACAUCGUGGCCACACCCUCUGUCUGAGAGGACUGGGUGGGGCCAGAACCUGCCUUUCUAGCAAAUCCGCUGGCAAUAUCCUCAAAGGUCCGACCUUUAGUCUCAGGAACCCAGAAGUAGGUAAAUAGGAAGAAGAGCACGAGAAGAACGAGGAAAAUGAUGAAGACGUAUGGUCCACAUGCACUCUGGAGAGAGGAAAGAAAGGUUACACCUGAAGUCUAUCCCAGGGAACUCAGGACACAAGGUGAGGGACACCCUGGACACCCUGCCAUCCCAUUGCAGGGCACAAUAGCACACAUGGACAAUUUACAGAUGCCAAUCAGCCUACAGCACACAUUACUGGAUUGGGGAGGAAACUGGAAAACCCAGAGGAUACGCAUGGCAUGAAACCCCCAACCCUAGAGGUAAGAAAAUGACUCGACACUCACGGCAUUGAUUCCAGAGAGCUGCUGUGAGAGGUUCAUGACAAUGGCAAUGAUGAUAGGCUGCCGGUAAAUGGGGUUACUAAACAGCUCCAGGAUGGACACUUUUUUUUCCAUGGCC